UGCAAGGGCACUCUGUGCUAAUCAUUAUUAAUAUGUUAGUAACAAUUUGUUACCUUGCUAGAUUAAAUUCUACUAAACCCUAUUCCGAGAACCACUACAUGGUUACUUGGUCAUAUUAGUAGAAACAUUUC